GGUGGUGGACUCACAUUACCCAGGGUGGCUUUGAACUUGCUUUCUUGUCUCUUGCCUCCACCUCCCACAUGAGGCUUGGCCAUCCAUUAUACCUGGGUUUGUUUCUCCCACUUUUGAAAAUGUUCCCUUUCUUUACUUGGGCAACGACCAAGUAGAGCUGGGACUAACGGCGCUGUCUGAGACAAGACACUUCUCUCACUUCUCUCUUGGUCUCCACAGACAUGGGGUGCUUCGGAUCCUACAGCUCUGACAGUCUCUGCUGUGGCCACCUUCCUCCUGGGCCACCAAAAUUCCCACCCCAGAUAGAUAAUUAAUAGGAAGGACAGAGGGUAAGGCAGAGUCAAGCAUUCAUAUUUAUUGUGGGAUAGCAACAGCGAGGCUCUUUCUGCUGGACAGGUUAUUCCUCAUCGUGCAUUUUCUGCUGAGAAAGAAAUAAGAGGUGUGAGGCCAACGGGCAAGAUAGACUGGGGAGGAAUCUCUAGGGAUUUCAGUGGCUCUAGGAAGGUGCCCUUGGAAAGGGAGGAGUUAAACCUCAGGAGUCUUGAAGUCCCAUGAUGGCGGUGCUCGUAGUUUAGAACACAGAUCUGGGGCCGUUUGGAGUGGGAGAGUGGAUUCUCAGGUUAUAGGUGUCUGCAGGACCCUCAGGUUGUAUGCAUUGCCUAUUUUAUGUCUAAAUACACAUGGGACACACAUGUAGCUGUUCAGAGCAUGACGCCUGCAGGUGUGUCCUGGUGAGAGCAUGACUGGUAAUUCGAGGGUGGGAACCCACCUUGGCGCCAAUGUCACGGCUCUUGGCCCGCAGCUUGUUGACCUGGGACUCGGCGAUGUCCGCCCUCUCCUCUGCCUCAUCCAGCUCGUGCUGCACCUUGCGGAACUUGGACAGCCCUCCCAGGGAUGUCCUGCUUGGCACCCUCCUCAAACGUGGUCAGUGUGUAAGAUCUGUCACCGCCACCCACUGUGU